ensembl:lncRNA
GGGGGGUCCUGAUUUACUGGGGGGGAGGGUCCCAAUUUAUGGGGAGGGGUCCCCAAUUUAUAGGGGGGGGGUCCCGAUUUAUUGGGGGGGUCCCGAAUUAUGGGGAGGGGUCCCCGAUUUAUGGGGGGGCUCCUGAUUUAUUGGGGGGAUCCCGAAUUUAUGGGGGGGGGUCCCCAAUUUAGGGGGGGGUUGUGAUUUAUGGGGGUGGUCCUGAAUUAUGGGGGGGGGUCCUGAUUUAUUGGGGGGUCCCGAAUUAUGGGGGGUAGUCCCAAUUUAUGGGGAGAGGUCCCCAGUUUAUGGGGGGGGGGGUCCUGAUUUAUGGGGAAGGGUCCCAAAUAAUGGGGGGGGGGAGGGUGUCACGAUUUAUUGGGGGGUCCCGAAUUAUGGGGGGGGUCCCGAUUUAUUGGGGGGGUCCUGAUUUAUGGAGAGAGGUCCCCAAUUUAUGGGGGGUGGUCCCGAAUUAGGGGGGGUGGUCCCGAAUUUAUGUGAGGGUCCCGAAUUUAUGGGGCGGGAGGGUCGCGAUUUAUGGGGGUGGUCCUGAUUUAUGGAGAGAGGUCCCCAAUUUAUGGGGGGUGGUCCCGAAUUUAUGUGAGGGUCCCGAAUUUAUGGGGCGGGAGGGUCGCAAUUUAUGGGGGUGGUCCUGAUUUUGGGGGGUGGUCCCCAAUUUCUGUGGGGGGGGUGGUCCCCAAUCCCAAUUUUGGGGGGGGGGGGGUCCCAAUUCCCAAUUUAUGGGGGGGUCCCCAAUUUAUGGGGAGGGACUCUCAGUUUGGGGGGGGGGUCCCAAUUCCCAAUUUUUGGGGGGGGUCCCCAAUUUCUGAGAUCCCCAAUCCGAUGUGGGGAGGGGGUCCCCAAUUCCCUGGGGGGGGGGGGCAGCUCCUCACUUUUAGGGGGUCCCCAACCCCCUCCCACCCAUUUUUUGGGGGGUGUGGCUCACCUUGACCCCCCCAAAAUAUUUUGGGGGGGGGGUGUGGCUGACCCUGCCCCCCUUUCCCCUCCCCCCCCAGGUGAUUUCGGCCCCUCGGAGCCCCCGGGGACCCCCCAAAUUGGGGGGGGUCCCGUCCCCAACGGGCGCCUGCCCGGACCCCCCCCCGGGCCGGAGCAGAUUUUGGGGGCGCGGCUGCGGCUCCUGGGGGACGCCUUCCAGCACAGCCACGAGCGGCAGCGCCGCGGGCUGUUCUGGGGGCCGCUCCUCCGCUGGGUGGCGCCCUGGCUCGGCAACGCGCCCGCAGCGCCCCUGGCGGCCAGAGGCGGGAACUGACCUGCGGAACACCUGGAAAACCGCUGGAAAACCGCUGGAAAACCGCUGGAAAACACCUGAAAACACCUGGAAAACACCUGGAAAACACCUGGAAAACUCAGACACACCCGGAGGAACCCGCGCGAUGCUGACAGAACAGCGGGGAAAGCGACGCGACCCCGAUUUAAAGCGAACACGCAAAGCACAACCCCCCCCCCCCAAAUGGGAGUUGGUAGCGCCCGACCCCCCAUUUGGUUUUAUUUAUUUGGGGUAAUUUAUUCAUAAAAAGGGGGGGGGGGGAUUUUCCCCAAAAUUGGGUUGGGAGCCCCAAAAAUGGGGGGGAAAGGGGGUCCCCCACCCCAAAAAAAAAAGGGUUUGUAAAUGGUGUAAAUUAGGGGGUGUAUAUUUAAAUUUGGGGUGUAUAUUUAAAUUUUUGGGGUGUAUAUUUAAAUUUUUGGGGUGUAAAUUAAAAUUUUGGGGUGUAUAUUUAAAUUUUGGGGUGUAAAUUUAAAUUUUGGGGUGUAUAUUUAAAAUUUUAGGUGUAAAUUUAAAAUUUUGGGGUGUACAUUUCAAAUUUGGGGUGUACAUUUCAAAUUUGGGGUGUACAUUUGAAAUUUUGGGUGUAUAUUGAAAUUUUUGGGGUGUAUAUUUAAAUUUUUGGGGUGUACAUUUAAAAUUUGGGGUGUACAUUUAAAUUUUUGGGGUGUAAAUUUAAAAUUUUGGGUUGUAAAUUGACAUUUUUUGGGUGUAAAUUUAAACUUUUAGGGUUUUUUAAGGGGCAAAAUAAAGGGCCGGUCAGGACCACCCCCCCCAAAUUUUAUUUUUGGGGGGGGGCACCCCCAAACCGCCCCUGAACCCCCAAAAAAGGGUUUUGGGGAACCCCAAAAAAGCCCCGAACCCCCCCAAAACGGGGCUGUACAUGCUGUACAUUGUACAUAGGCUGUACAUUGAAUUUUUGGGGGUUUUUGUACAUUUUUGGGUUUUUCUGUACAUUUGGGGUUUUUUCUGUACAUUUUUGGGGUUUUUCUGUACAUUUUUGGGGUUUUUUCUGUACAUUUUGGGGUUUUUCUGUACAUUUUUGGGGUCUGUACAUGGAUUUGGGGGGGUUGUACAGGAAUUUGUUUUUUUGGGGGGGGUCCCCGUUUUUUGUACCUUUGUUUGCAAUAAAAGCGAUUUACCACUUUGGGGGGUUUGGGCCAAUUAUGGGGUUUUGGGGGUUUAUGGGAUUUUGGGGGGUUUGUAGGAUUUUGGGGGUUUUGGGGGGUUUGGGGGAGUCUGUGAGAUUUUGGGGGAUUUAUGGGAUUUUGGGGGGUUUGGGGCAUUCGUGGGAUUUUGGGAUAUUUAUAAGAUUUUGGGGGUUUUGGGGGGUUUUUAGGAUUUUGGGAGGUUUUGGGGGAUUUAUGGGAAUUUGGGGGGAUUUUGGGGUCUGUGGGAUUUUGGGAGGUUUGUAGGAUUUUGGGGGUUUUGGGGGAUUUACGGGAUUUUGGGGGGUUUGG